CGGCGGACGGGUGAGUAACACGUGGAUAACCUACCUAUAAGACUGGGAUAACUUCGGGAAACCGGAGCUAAUACCGGAUAAUAUUUUGAACCGCAUGGUUCAAAAGUGAAAGACGGUCUUGCUGUCACCUAUAGAUGGAUCCGCGCUGCAUUAGCUAGUUGGUAAGGUAACGGCUUACCAAGGCAACGAUGCGUAGCCGACCUGAGAGGGUGAUCGGCCACACUGGAACUGAGACACGGUCCAG
rnacentral:rRNA from 1 species